rnacentral:tRNA from 1 species
GGAUAGGUAGCGAAGUGGCUAAACGCACUUGACUGUAAAUCAAGCACCUCCGGUUUCGGCGGUUCGAAUCCGUCCCUGUCCACCA